UACGUAGGGUGCAAGCGUUGUCCGGAAUUAUUGGGCGUAAAGAGCUCGUAGGCGGUUUGUCGCGUCUGCUGUGAAAACCCGAGGCUCAACCUCGGGCCUGCAGUGGGUACGGGCAGACUAGAGUGCGGUAGGGGAGAUUGGAAUUCCUGGUGUAGCGGUGGAGUGCGCAGAUAUCAGGAGGAACACCAAUGGCGAAGGCAGAUCUCUGGGCCGUAACUGACGCUGAGGAGCGAAAGCAUGGGGAGCGAACAGG
rnacentral:rRNA from 1 species